AACGAACGCUGGCGGCAUGCCUAACACAUGCAAGUCGAACGAGACCUUCGGGUCUAGUGGCGCACGGGUGCGUAACGCGUGGGAACCUGCCCUUAGGUUCGGAAUAACUCCCCGAAAGGGGUGCUAAUACCGGAUAAUGUCUUCGGACCAAAGAUUUAUCGCCUUUGGAUGGGCCCGCGUUGGAUUAGCGAGUUGGUAGGGUAAAAGCCUACCAAGGCGACGAUCCAUAGCUGGUCUGAGAGGAUGAUCAGCCACACUGGGACUGAGACACGGCCCAGACUCCUACGGGAGGCAGCAGUGGGGAAUAUUGGACAAUGGGCGAAAGCCUGAUCCAGCAAUGCCGCGUGAGUGAUGAAGGCCUUAGGGUUGUAAAGCUCUUUUACCCGGGAUGAUAAUGACAGUACCGGGAGAAUAAGCUCCGGCUAACUCCGU
rnacentral:rRNA from 1 species